AUAGUAGUGUUGACCGAAGGAUAACUCUGACCGAACCAUAGUAACUUUGACCGAAAGAUAGCUUUGACCGAAAGAUGAGCAUUGACCGAAGGAUAGCAUUGACCGAAGGAUAGCAUUGACCGAAACAUAAUUAGGUUGACCGAAAGAUGACAGUUGGUCGAAAGAUGACGGUAGGUUCGAAACAUAACAUUUGGUCCGAAAGAUAACUAUGAUAACUGUUUGUCGAAAGAUCACUAGUGUGUCGAAAGAUAAGAGUGGAUCGAAAGAUAUAUGGUUAUGAACAUACUUUGAAUGAUUGAAUGUAUGCUUGAUUUAUUUGGCAUGC
rnacentral:lncRNA from 1 species